rnacentral:rRNA from 1 species
CCCUUAGACGUUCUGGGCCGCACGCGCGCUACACUGACCAGUGCAACAAGCAUCCGUCCUUGGCCGACAGGCUCGGGCAAUCUUUGAACGCUGGUCGUGAUGGGGAUAGACUUUUGCAAUUAUGGGUCUUCAACGAGGAAUUCCUAGUAAACGCAAGUCAUCAGCUUGCAUUGAUUACGUCCCUGCCCUUUGUACACACCGCCCGUCGCACCUACCGAUUGAAUGGUCCGGUGAAAUCUCGGGACGGCGGCUUGGUCGCUUGCGUCCGACUGCUGAAACUUGAUUAAACCAUAUCAUUUAGAGGAAGGUGAAGUCGUAACA